GACAGCAAAAAAAUUUAGCUCAAUUCAUGGCUCAGGAGGGGAGGCAUGGCAAGGAGCAGAAUAGCAACAGUUGCCCGCAAAAGUUAACAAAAAAUUUGCCACUUCUUGCUGCUCUUUCCUCUCUUUCUCUCAGGUCAAUCCAAGAUUGGGUUUGGUCGCUUCCGAGCUAGAAGAAGAGAUUGGAAGUUGCGGCGCAGAAGUUCAGAACAAGUUGGAGGCGGUUCGGCUUGACGACUUGCGGCAGAAUUUUACUCUGAAGAGGCUGCUGAAGCUCUCGUAACUGAAUUUUCUAGAGGAGUUGAGUGCAUCUGAGAAGUUCGUGAAUCCAGGAUUCCAGUGUGGGGAGUCAGAUGGCCUUCACGAGUAUAAAAUUUGACAGGCAAUGAGCAGUGGGUUGUAUCAAGGAAUUUUAGAUUCUCGGAAACACUUUACGUAUGUUAUGAAGGUUGCUUCCAUCUGGUUGUGCAGCAUUGACAGUUGUGACCUUACCUGGCAAGGGAAGUACAGGAUUCUUAAACAUGGAUGACAAAGCUUCCGAUUGAGAAACUACCUAAUAUGUAAAUGUCUUAGUAAAAGAAGAUUAACUGUUUUGGUAAUUAUAGUUUGGUAUUUGCAAAUUGUCAGCCAAUUCUCUAUUGCUAUUGAAACUAUUCUAAAUGUCAUUUAUGACCUUUCAUUGUAUUUCAAAUAUUAAAACUGUACAAAUUUAGAAUUACUUAAACAACAGUGUUCUUGUUAUUGUUGUUAGAUGGAGAUGGUAUUUUAUGGGAGCAAAUGGAUCAGCUUCAACUGUUGCUCCAGUGUAUACUAUUCAUUGUACUUGGCGCUCAUUUCUGUCUCCACAACAUUGAUGACCCUUUUAUGGAAGAAGGGGGAGAAUGAUUUACCUUCUAGCAAUUCCUAGUGAAUUCCAUAAGUGUCUGAUGUCGGAGUUUAGGCAUACUCAGCUGGUGAACCUAAACUACACAGAGUUUCCUCUUACUAGAAAGACUGCAGAAAAAGGGAAGAAUCUCAGUGACUGACUCUAUUGUAAAAUGAUGAUGACUAAAAUGAGUUUAUUAUGUCACAUGGGCAUGGCUAGUGGGAUUUGUCACUGGAUUUUGGGAGGUUGUAGCAUUCUUUUCUACAAGAAGGUCCAAAGGCUUAUGUUUCUUGAUGAUGACAAGAAAGGCCUGCUAAAAUCCUCAAUAUGAAGGGCUUCAGCUCAAAGUUAAUUAGGAUUCAACAUCAAUAAAUGACAGGUACUCCCAGUCCACUAAGCUGAGACUAAAUCUUGUUUGCAUCAGGUCAGUCCACUAAGAGGUAAAGUGCUCCUAAUAAGUAUUUGUUAAUGGAUCUAACCGUUGACUUCACUCAAGGAAGUGCCGAACUACUUAUCUCAAUACUCAACACUCAUUGGUUCCUUGAGCAUAUUUUAGUACCUAUCAGACAGAGCUGAGGAAUAAAUUAGCAUAUAAGUUUAUGCAUGAACUUUCACAGUACUAAUAAAUGUAUGCCACCUGCUUAGGUAGUUCAAGUCCAGUUGUUUCUUGCUCUUGUAGUCUUGCAAUCUUUUCAUCCAGAGGUUUUCAUCUCAAUCUGAGGAUUCUUUGAAUCUCUUAUUACGUGCAUUAUGAAGUAUUAGAUCAUUAAAUUAUCCAACUUUGAUGUCAUCCCAUGUGAUGCUAUGUAUAUUUAGAUGUUACAUGACAUAUAUUAUUUCCAAAAUCUGAUGACAAAACAUUUGAAUAUUGAAACAUUCAAUCCUCAUGUUUCAAUCAUUGGAAGAUGACAUUGGUUGGACACUCAAAUAAUUCCAUACAGAAAGAAUGAGAGGGCGAUUUCCCAUCUUCCCAAUUGGGAAGAUCAUGUACAAACUGAAAAUAUGGAAGGCCACAUGAACUGUGGAUUUGUGAUCUAAAUGGGGACUGAUUUUCCAAAAAGUAUGAUCAGAUUGUGAUCAAAGUGUGGACCCACUAUCCCAUUUGCUGCAUUGGCAGCGCAGAUCACGCAAGUGGAAAAAAAUACUGAAUUUUCUUCACUUUUUGAAGGUAUUCACCAACUUUGAAUGAAGUAGAUAGCUCAGUUGCAUGUGUUGAUCAUAUAUGGUGGAUGGAAUUCUGUGGCCGCUCGUGUGCCAUAUGGGGUCACGUGGACGGCUGUGAUCUAUCUGUUUGGUGCAGAUUUUGACUAGAAAAACAUAAGCCUAAAAGGUUUGGUUGGUGACUUGGUGCCGUGGCUACCUUACAACUAUUAUUUUUUAAUGUUGUCUGAACCAUAUAAGUAAAUUUUUAUUUGCUUUCACACGCACGAGCAAGGUCCUUGCUUUUUGUUCCUUUUAAGAACAAAUAUUACUUUUUUUUUUUCUUAAAUUAUUCUCGUUGAUAAACUACAUCCAUUGAAUAGAUGAUUAUUAUCUAUUUAUUUUU